GGUUGUGGCUCAGUGGUUGAGUGCUUGCCUAGCAUGUGAGAGGCCCUGGGUUCAAUCCUCAGCACCA
rnacentral:tRNA from 1 species